rnacentral:rRNA from 1 species
UACGAAGGUGGCAAGCGUUACUCGGAAUUACUAGGCGUAAAGGGCAGGUAGGUGGUUUGAUAAGUCUGUUGUGUAAGCUCCUGGCUUAACUGGGAGAGGUCAACGGAUACUGUCAGGCUUGAGUAUAGGAGAGGGUACUGGAAUUCCCGGUGUAGCGGUGAAAUGCGCAGAGAUCGGGAGGAACACCAAAGGCGAAAGCAGGUACCUGGACUAUUACUGACACUCAGCUGCGAAAGCUAGGGGAGCAAACAGGAUUAGAUACCCUGGUAGUCCUAGCCGUAAACGAUGCACAUUAGACGUGAGGGGUAUCGACCCCCUUCGUGUCGACGCAAACGCAUUAAAUGUGCCGCCUGGGGAGUACGGCCGCAAGGUUGAA